rnacentral:rRNA from 1 species
UUCCCGGUUGAUCCUGCCGGAGGGUUACUGCUAUCGGUAUUCGACUAAGCCAUGCGAGUUAAAUGUUCUUCGUGAACAUAGCGAACUGCUCAGUAACACGUGGAUAACCUGCCCUUAGGUUCGGCAUAACUCCGGGAAACUGGAGAUAAUUCCGAAUAAACCAUUCCUGCUGGAAUGCUUUUUGGUUCAAAGACUUCGGUUGCCUAAGGAUGGAUCUGCGGUCUAUCAGGUAGUAGUGGGUGUAAGGUACCUACUAGCCUACGACGGAUAUGGGUUGUGAGAGCAAGAGCCCAGAGAUGGAUUCUGAGACAUGAAUCCAGGCCCUACGGGGCGCAGCAGGCGCGAAAACUUUACAAUGCGGGAAACCGCGAUAAGGGGAUACCGAGUGCCAGCAUAUUAUGUUGGCUGUCCACAUGUGUAAACGGCAUGUGUUAGCAAGGGCCGGGCAAGACCGGUGCCAGCCGCCGCGGUAACACCGGCGGCCCGAGUGGUAAUCACUUUUAUUGGGUCUAAAGGGUCCGUAGCCGGUUUGAUCAGUUCUUCGGGAAAUCUGACAGCUCAACUGUUAGGCUUCCGGGGAAUACUGUCAGACUUGGGACCGGGAGAGGUAAGAGGUACUACAGGGGUAGGAGUGAAAUCUUGUAAUCCCUGUGGGACCACCAGUGGCGAAGGCGUCUUACCAGAACGGGUCCGACGGUGAGGGACGAAAGCUGGGGGCACGAACCGGAUUAGAUACCCGGGUAGUCCCAGCCGUAAACGAUGUUCGCUAGGUGUCAGGGACGGUGCGACCGUUUCUGGUGCCGUAGGGAAGCCGUGAAGCGAACCACCUGGGAAGUACGGCCGCAAGGCUGAAACUUAAAGGAAUUGGCGGGGGAGCACUACAACGGGUGGAGCCUGCGGUUUCCUUGAUUCAACGCCGGA